rnacentral:rRNA from 1 species
AACGAACGCUGGCGGCAUGCCUAACAUAUGCAAGUCGAACGAGACCUUCGGGUCUAGUGGCGCACGGGUGCGUAACGUGUGGGAACCUGCCCGUAGGUUCGGAAUAACUACCCGAAAGGGGUGAUAAUACCGGAUAAUGUCUUCGGACCAAAGAUUUAUCGCCUUUGGAUGGGCCCGCGUUGGAUUAGCUAGUUGGUAGGGUAAAAGCCUACCAAGGCGACGAUCCAUAGCUGGUCUGAGAGGAUGAUCAGCCACACUGGGACUACGACACGGCCCAGACUCCUACUGGAGGCAGCAGUGGAGAAUAUUAGACAAUGCGCGAAAGCCUGAUCCCACAAUGCCGCGUGAGUGAUGAAGGCCUUAGGAUUAUAAAUCUCUUUUACCCGGAAUGAUAAUAACAGUACCUGGAUAAUAAGCUCCGGCUAACUCCGUG